ensembl:ncRNA F11D5.24 ncRNA
UCACUCGACUACCAUACCACAUUAGAAACCACUAGUGGCUUUUUAGUAAAUUAGCUGAAAUUUUGUUCAAAUACAUAGAGGAAACACUUGACACUGGGGCAUUGUACGAAGACACGAAUUAAGUAUUGUCGUAAAAUGCGGUACAGUGAAUUGAAGAGGGGGGCACUGAGUGACAAUGCAUCUGCCAGCCACUUGUCGAGACGUGUGUAUGAUCGGCUCAAGAUCAUAUCGACACAUAUGUCGCCAGCCAUGCUAUUCUGCAUAACAGGAAUUUGAACAU